GUAUGUCAAGCAUAUACUAUAGUAAAAUUUUAGUUCCAAUCCCGGCGGGUAGAUGGCGCCCCGAAAAUCCCAAGUGUGGACACACGACGUCAUCACGCGGCAUCGUGUAAACGCGCCUGAAAUUAGGGCAAUAAUAGAAACGCGCCUUAAGCUAGGGCAUCGUGUGGACGCGCCCUAUGAAAAAGCGACGCUACGCCUCGCGUGGCGUCAGUAGCCAGUAGACAAUGCGUGUGUUACUGUACUGAUCACCUAAAACACGGCUUCGUAGCUGCAAACAUUAUCUCCUAUUCCCUACACAAGCUAUCUUGUGACGCUGCCUAUGAGUGAGGAUUUGUACUAAAAGAGACUGUAGCGCGCACGCGCAAAUUGUUUGCAAGAAACAAGCACCAUUUGUUCCGAGUGACAUUAA